rnacentral:rRNA from 1 species
AAGGUAUUGAAAUAAGAUUUUAAAUGAGUGCUAAGAGAAUGAUUGAACAAUUAUAGGCUUUCUUUAGUUAAAUAAUUAAAUUUAAUUUUUUUAGUGCAAAAGCAAAAAUUAAAUUUAGGGACAAGAAGACCCUAUGAAUUUUAAUUUAAUUUAUAAUUUGAAAUUUUAAAUUAAAUUUGAUUGGGGCGAUGGAAAAAGAAUAAGUAUCUUUUUUAGUUUUAAAAAUUGGUUCCGUUUUUAACGAUUAAAUGAGAAAAAUACUCUAGGGAUAACAGCGUAA